rnacentral:rRNA from 1 species
AUGAACGCUGGCGGCGUGCCUAAUACAUGCAAGUCGAGCGAACAGACGAGGAGCUUGCUCCUCUGACGUUAGCGGCGGACGGGUGAGUAACACGUGGAUAACCUACCUAUAAGACUGGGAUAACUUCGGGAAACCGGAGCUAAUACCGGAUAAUAUAUUGAACCGCAUGGUUCAAUAGUGAAAGACGGUUUUGCUGUCACUUAUAGAUGGAUCCGCGCCGCAUUAGCUAGUUGGUAAGGUAACGGCUUACCAAGGCAACGAUGCGUAGCCGACCUGAGAGGGUGAUCGGCCACACUGGAACUGAGACACGGUCCAGACUCCUACGGGAGGCAGCAGUAGGGAAUCUUCCGCAAUGGGCGAAAGCCUGACGGAGCAACGUCGCGUGAGUGAUGAAGGUCUUCGGAUCGUAAAACUCUGUUAUUAGGGAAGAACAAAUGUGUAAGUAACUAUGCACGUCUUGACGGUACCUAAUCAGAAAGCCACGGCUAACUACGUG